GUUUUGGGCUCUAAUUUGAGAUUUGAUUUGGUAAGAUUUGCAGAACUAUUGGAGCUGAGCUAAUGUUAUUUUAUUUUGAAGAUUUAUCAUAAAGCGUAGUGUUUCAUCUACAGUUUUCUUUUUGUUUAGGGUACUUCCAUUCAACGACAUGUCCAUAUGCAUCCCAAAAAAAUGGUCGGGCAUAGCGUAAACAUCAUCACAUCCUCGAUAUAGUUCGUCUGCUUCUUCUAUCCACCUCAUAUUCUUAUCGCUAUUGGGGAGGAGCCGUUCUUGCUUCCGUCUACACCAUAAAAGGUCCUAAGCUCACAUCUACUGCUCUCGAUACAGUCUCGUUGUCCUUGUCUCCUACAAAGGAUCUGUCUGUGCUUCUUGAACUAGGGCCCAAGCCUUCUCUUGAUGUCCGUUCUACCACUCUCUGUCGAUCUACUCAUGAAAUACACGCUCUUGAGAAGACAAACAUUUGGGAUCUUGUGACUCUACCGACGGGCAAACACUCGAUUUGGUGCAAGUGGGUCUACAAAAUUAAGAUUCACUCAAAUGGUUCGAUUGAGAGCAAAAUUGGUCUUGGAGCGAAGGGCUACUCUUAGAAGUAUGAUGUUGACUAUGAGAAAACAUUUUCUCUUAUUACUCGCCUUACCAUUAUUCAGUGUUUACUUGUAAUUGUUGUUGUUUAUUGGUGGUUACUUUUUCAAUUGAGUUUCAAAAAUACCUUAUUGCAUGGAAACUUGACUGAGGAUGUCUACAUGAGUCAUUCUCCAGGUAUUGAGAUUUCCAAUAAGGUAUAUAAACUGUGUCAGGCUCUCUAUGGUAUGAAAUAGACACUUUGUGCUUGGUGUGCCAAAUUAAGCUCUCUUAGUAUUCAUGAUUAGGCUCUCUUCAUUCGUCGGAGCUCUUCUGGAAUUAUUAUGCUAUUAUUGUAAGUUGAAGAUAUAAUUUUCAUUAGGGACAACAACUAUGGUAUUUCUUAUUUGUAGGGCUUACCUUCGUCAACAUUUUAAGAUAAACUGUCUUGGUCAUCUUCGCUAUUUUUUAGGACUUGAGAUUUCUGAUACUUUAGAUGACUUCUUCUUGUCUCAAGCCAAGUAUACGUCUAAUCUUAUCUCCCAUGCUGGCCUAAUUCAUAGCAAGGUCACCUUCACACCUCAUGAGGCGAACAGUCGUCUCACCCCUUGCGAUGACUCUAUGCUUGACGACCUGACUCUUUGUCGUCAGCUGGUUGGAUCCUUGAUUUAUCUCACAAUCUCUCGUCCUAACAUAGUCUAUGUCAUUCAUAGGGGUGGGCAAAAAAACCGAACCGUCGAACCGCUGAAUCGAACGGAACCGAACUGAAUUUU